GGGACUAAAAACAAGAGUUUUAAAAACGUUAGAAAUGCAAAUGUUGGGCCUCACUCUAGACCUACUGAGUGAAACUCCGGGUGUAGGAUUUUUCCAUUGAUUUUCAGAGAGUGUAGAAGAGAGGGAAAGACAGAGCAAAAUAUCAAUGCAAGAAAAACACAUGAAUUGGUUACCUCCUGCACACCCCCUACUGGGGACGGAGCCUGCAACCUGGGCAUGUGCCUUUGACCAGAAUCGAACCUGGAACCUGCAGUCCGCGGGCAAACGCCUGAGCCAAAUCGACAAGCCAUCCAGGUGGUUCUGAUCGAAGCUCAAGUUUGAGAACCAUUGUGCUAAGCUCAUUCCAGGAAUGUAGGCGGUUAUCUUUGGGAUGGGAGAAGCGUAAGUCCUGCGUAACUGGGCAGCAGGGUAACAUUAGCGCGGCGCCAGGCCAAUUCUCCCCCUCGCCUCUACCAGCACCCUCCGCUGAGCCCAAGCUCUCGGACUUGGGUGCUUUUCCCUGGGAGCCGUGGCCAAAUCCUGGUGAGCCUUCUUUCCAUUACCUGCUUCUACUUCAUAUUCUCCUGGGUAAGACCUGUGUUCAGAUGUGAAAGGAAAGGACGUCCGCUUCUGACCUCUACCCAUUACUCGUCUCGACAUCCAAAAACUCAUCACAUCACCCAGCUCUUUCCCUGAACAAAGUACUGCUGUGUCUGAAAGUUCCUGUUUGCCUUUUUUUUUUUUGGUGAGAAACACAUACCAUGGCUUCUAUAAAAACAAGUUGCUUUUUAGUAAUACUCUGCACACAGAAAGGGUGGGAAUUAGAAUGGUGAUUAAAAGAGUUUUUCUUUUAUUUAAACACUUAUUUCAUGAGAAAGUAUUUUAUUUUCUAGUACACUUACAGAUAACUUGCUCAUAAAGCCCAGUUGUGAAGGGGACUUUAGACUUUAUAAUAAACUGAAUUUGUAUGGCUUACUCUUUUGAGCAAUCCAGAUCUAUAAAACUCUAAGAAUAUUGGGAUAACUGACUGCAUACAGAUAUGCUGUACAGAGGAA